AAAGGAAUAGACGGGGGCCCGCACAAGCGGUGGAGCAUGUGGUUUAAUACGUCACUAACCGUAGAACCUUACCCGGGUUUGACAUCUGGGGAAGUCUGAUGAAAGUUGGAUGUGCUUAGCAAUAAGAACCCCAAGACAGGUGUUGCAUGGCUGUCGUCAGCUCGUGUCGUGAGAUGUUGGGUUAAGUCCCGCAACGAGCGCAACCCUCAUCCGAUGUUGCCAGCGUAAAGUCGGGAACUCUUCGGAAACUGCCUGCGUAAGUGGGAGGAAGGUGGGGAUGACGUCAAGUCAGUAUGGCCCUUACACCCGGGGCUACACACAUGCUACAAUGGACACAACAAAGGGCAGCAAUACCGCGAGGUGGAGCUAAUCUCAAAAAUAUGUCCUCAGUUCGGAUUGUAGUCUGCAACUCGACUACAUGAAGUCGGAAUCGCUAGUAACCGCAGGUCAGCAAAACUGCGGUGAAUACGUUCCCGGGCCUUGUACACACCGCCCGU
rnacentral:rRNA from 1 species